GAACAAUGGCCGUUUCUUCAAACUGGACGCCCCUGAGAGUACUCGUACAGUUCUCUAAAUCGAUAUCUAAUCUGAAUGCUUUCUGAUGUUUACAGCAAUCAUAAAAUUGAUAUCGCAGAAUUGUCUCGUAUGACCACACUUUCUUCUCAGUUCGGUAUAAAAUGGCACAUUUUGCUAUCAGUCGCGUCACGUGUUCCUUCCCAAAUUCAAAAUCAGUCGUCGUGCCCAUUGUUAACCUGCUCAAAUGCACACGGCUCCGUUAAUUCAUGGUCUGGAAAUCUGUUAAGUGAUCAGGAUCAUUAUGAACCUACAAGUAUAUGUCUUUUGGACUUGCAAGCACCAUGAUAUGCAUCACCAGUGCUCUUCAUCAGCUGCUGCACUGACCAGGCGUGGACAUAUGAACACCACAGCCUUCUGUUAGUUUGGCAAACUUCAUCUGGCAGCUUGGCUCACAUCCAUAGAAGCUAUUAACAUAUGAGGUGUUCAAGGGAACUAUAAAGCAUAAAGUUUACAGAUCAAACGCUAACACAACUGAAGAACUAAACAAAAAUAUCUCUUGGGAUGUUCGUUGUAUUUCCAAAGGAGAACUUCAAUGUGUGAAUGCAAACUUUUAUGGAGAUGCGAGGAACGUGUAAAAAAGGGACAGCAUUUCCAGAAUCUGCUGUAAUCUGAGUAAGUUUUAUUUGUAAUGUGAUCAUGCUGCAAGUUGCUUGAUUCUACUAGCAGUCAAUCUCUUCAUGCUGAACCUGACAGGAGGAGUCUCCGAGUUUUCUGAAGAUCAACAAUGAGGUGCUAAAAUUUCAGUGUACUUCAACCAUUUCACUGUCAUGUAAAGAACAGUUCCAUAAUAUGAUAGAAGGCUGAAGCUAAGCUUCUGUCUUGUACCAUAACCUUACACCCCAACUCCAAUGUCCUUAUUGGUCUUGGAGCCAUCUGUGUGCCAGAUUAGUCCUCCCUUCCUAUUGGGCUGAACCCUGUCUUUACAGUCAUGUGUCAGGGAAUGUGACUGUGAAUGGUUUGCCACAGACAUGUCUCACUAUCAUUCUGUCAGUCCCUAUCUGUAGGAUGGAGACUUCUUUCAUGCUGAGUCAUGUACGCAUGUCCAGAACCUUCAGAUUUGGGUUUCAAUUGUUGACUGUGGUAGAGUCUAUAAAUUCCUGUUCUUGCCUCAGUGGACAGUUGCAAGUACAGUGGGGGGAGUCCAAGGAGAACCUCAGUUGCAGCUGUUUGAACUGCCCUGAUUGCUCCAGGAAUAUCAAAGCAAGCCAUCCUUUGCAACUUGCUUAGUUCAGCUCUGCUUGUUUCUAAUUUGACCCUAGGGCACCACACAGGGGCAGUAUAUGUAACUGUGAGUGUUAAAACCAUGGUGUAAAUCCAGUAUACUACCUUUGGUUUCAGUCCCCAAGUUUUCCCAAACAUAUCUCUGCACAUACAAAAUGCCCUGUAUGCUUUGUUGGCUACUCUAUCCAGUUCCUAUUUCCAUGUCGAAGUUUGACUUGAUCAUUCUAAUUACACUCUUCUCCAAGUAUAAUGAGAAUGAUCAAAU